ensembl:lncRNA
CGGAAAGCACUGACUCCAGGCAUUGUGUGCUGCUGUUUACUUGACAAGCCAGUGCAGACACUGCUUCCUCUUCAGCUCUCUUCUGUUUUGCAGUCGGGAACACGCAACACUCUGCCAGGACCAAAAGAAAACCUGCAAAGGCGGUUGGGGGCCAAAGAGAUGCAUGUGAGGCAGUGUCCCCCCCAGCAGCUGCACAUGACAAUCCUAUUGCACCAUGUUGGAGCGCAUUGCUCGGCUUGCCAGGAAGGGGAGAAGCAAAGAACACUCGGUACUACGUGCGGAGCCACCACAGAUCUGCUCUGCCUCUUACACCAGGCAUUGGCCUGAGGGAUGCAGGCAUUUGGGGAGGAUGCAAAACCUCAUGCAAAGUCUGCCUGAUUGCAUCUGCGCACUGAGUGCAGAUACCUUCGGGAGCGGCUGUUUGUGUUCACUCCAUGUUCUGUGUGCUACAACUGCGGGGCAUUUGGGACCUGUUCUUCCUGACCAUGGGGGCAGGACCUGCCUCCACCCCCAGCAGCUGCUGCAAAUAUAAUGAAGUAGCAACACACAGUAAGGCACAACUCAAGGGAGCAACCUCCCCCAAAAUACAACAACUUCUUACUUAAUUGCUAUUGUCUUCCUAGAUGCAACCAACAGGCACUAAGGAUUCUGGUUUCCUACUUCCCAAAACUUUGUAAUUAGCUUUGGAGUUGGAAGACGACCUACAAAGUGAGUGGGAAUGUGGUUUUAGGGAGGUGGAGAACAGCAGCGCGGAGGGGCCCAGCUGCAGCAUCUGCAUUCUCCCAGGCUCUCCCCCAGGACACGCACGUCCCAGGGUGACGUUUCCGCUGGCAGGGAGCAGCGGUGCCUUUUGGAGGGCAACACAUCAAUAGGAUCGCCCCGAUUCAAAACCAAAUCCAGUGGCAAGCGCUCCUAUCCCACAACACAGCUGCUCCCAUUCAUAAAGCCAGAGGACGGCUGCUGCAAGCGCCGCUAUGGGGCUGGGGCUGACACCGUGCCGAACCGGGCAGUCCCCUCGCGAGCCCACACAAGCAGCUCCUCCACCUCUCUCCUCCGACACCGGCCGAGCCAACCCAUAGCGUGUGCCCGGCGCCUGCGUGUCCCCGCUGUCCCCACGGCCGGGGGGGUGAGGGGGG